rnacentral:lncRNA from 1 species
UGAAUUUGCUACUGCAAUCCAGUUUUGUUAAGAACACAAGAAAAGAUUCAACAAAACAAUGAUAUACUAUUAUAAAAAUACUUAUAAUCAACAUACUGUAAUUAAUCAAAAUAUGGUAUACAUUUUACAACAAGUAAUUGCACAUGGGAGAAAUUAACGACCAGAAAAUAUUCACUGCUUUUCUGACCUCAUCCAUAUAUAUCUUACUUAUACAUUAAACGAAUAUCAUUAUCCAUAAAAAUGUGGAAAACCUUUAAAAACAUCCAAUGAAUAAUAUGGUAUGAAAAUAAUCUGGUAUAUUGUAAUGUUGCUAUUUUCAUGUCGUAUUGCUUUUGGCUUUAAUUGAAACAAAAAUCGUUUAUUUUAGAAUAUUAUAAAAAAUGUUAUGCAUGACUAGGUUUUAUCUUACUUGGCUCAAGUGGAAUUUUUAAAUAACCAUUGAGGCAUGUUACAUUUUUGUCAUGAACAUCCCAAAAAUAUGGCAGCAAUGAUGCAUAUAUAUCCAACAUGAUACAAAUAUCAUGUUAAGGGGGCUCGCGGGUCUAAAUCAAAUUUUUUAUUUAAUAUAAGAUUUCGCCAAUUUUUUCUAUAAAUGAACUUUAUCUUAUACCUAAUAGAAAAAUAAAAUCAAAAAGGGGGGUCACCGAUCAUUUACGCUCACAAUCUGACUUCGAAAGACACAUACAUUUUGGUAAAGGUAUUUUUUUUCUGUUG